UUUAAACGUAGCUAUAAAUUUUCGUGUUUAAUUUUAAUCGUUCAUUUUAUUUUAUAACUAAUAAUUUUAUAUAGUUAUUAGAUGAUAAAAUAUGAAUAUUACUUUAAGUAUGACUCAUAAUUCUAUUAAAUAAUUUUUUAAAUAUUACAAAUAAUUAAAAUUAGACACGAAAACUUAUAGCUGUGUUUUAU
rnacentral:pre_miRNA from 1 species